rnacentral:rRNA from 1 species
AAUGAACGUUGGCGGCGUGGAUUAGGCAUGCAAGUCGAGCGCUCAUCAGCAAUGGUGGGAGCGGCGAACGGCGUAGUAAUGCAUCGGAACGUACCCUCUGGACGGGGAUAGCCACGGGAAACUGUGGGUAAUACCCGAUAAUCUCUGCGGAGCAAAGGUGUGAUUCCGCCGGAGGAGCGGCUGAUGUGAUAUUAGCUAGUUGGUGGGGUAAAGGCCUACCAAGGCGAUGAUGUCUAGGGGGGUGUGAGAGCAUGGCCCCCACGACCGGAACUGAGAUACUGUCCGGACACCUACGGGAGGCAG